AUUAAACGCUGGCGGCAUGCCUUACACAUGCAAGUCGAACGGCAGCACGGGGCAACCUGGUGGCGAGUGGCGAACGGGUGAGUAAUGCAUCGGAACGUGCCAUUGAGUGGGGGAUAACGUAGCGAAAGUUGCGCUAAUACCGCAUAUUCUGUGAGCAGGAAAGCAGGGGACCGCAAGGCCUUGCGCUCUUUGAGCGGCCGAUGUCAGAUUAGCUAGUUGGUGAGGUAACGGCUUACCAAGGCGACGAUCUGUAGCGGGUCUGAGAGGAUGAUCCGCCACACUGGAACUGAGACACGGUCCAGACUCCUACGGGAGGCAGCAGUGGGGAAUUUUGGACAAUGGGCGCAAGCCUGAUCCAGCCAUGCCGCGUGAGUGAA
rnacentral:rRNA from 1 species